GCAGCAGUGGGGAAUCUUAGACAAUGGGCGCAAGCCUGAUCUAGCCAUGCCGCGUGGGUGAUGAAGGCCUUAGGGUCGUAAAGCCCUUUCGCCGGGGAAGAUAAUGACGGUACCCGGUAAAGAAACCCCGGCUAACUCCGUGCCAGCAGCCGCGGUAAUACGGAGGGGGUUAGCGUUGUUCGGAAUGACUGGGCGUAAAGCGCGCGUAGGCGGAUCAGGAAGUUGGGGGUGAAAUCCCGGGGCUCAACCCCGGAAUGGCCUUCAAAACUCCUGGUCUUGAGUUCGAGAGAGGUGAGUGGAAUUCCGAGUGUAGAGGUGAAAUUCGUAGAUAUUCGGAGGAACACCAGUGGCGAAGGCGGCUCACUGGCUCGACACUGACGCUGAGGUGCGAAAGCGUGGGGAGCAAACAGGAUUAGAUAC
rnacentral:rRNA from 1 species